rnacentral:SRP_RNA from 1 species
AGGUAGGCUAGGCUGGGUGGUUAGUCCUCACCUGUUACCUACAACGGACUUAUGUAGGAGCUGAAGCCUGGUAAGCGUCAUAUAUUUUAGCACAAGGUCCUUGUCUUGCCAAUGAAAUUUGGUCUUGCAGGACUUAUGCUUUUGCGAACCAUGUCAGGCCUUGAUCGGAGCAGCAUUAAGCUUUUGCACAGGUGCUUGCAAGGUCGCCAGAUGGAGAAUGGACAGGGAUUAAACCUUGAGCUGAUUUAUAUGGCCAUUAUUGGGCAUGCCUGCCU